UACGUAGGUGGCAAGCGUUGUCCGGAUUUACUGGGCGUAAAGGGCGUGCAGGCGGUCUGUUAAGUUCAGGGUGAAAGCUCCCGGCUCAACUGGGAGAGGUCCUUGGAUACUGGCAGACUUGAGGGAGGUAGAGGAGAGUGGAAUUCCGGGUGUAGUGGUGAAAUGCGUAGAGAUCCGGAGGAACCCCAGAGGCGAAGGCGGCGCCCUGGCUCGCAACUGACGCUCAGACACGACAGCAUGGGGAGCGAACGGG
rnacentral:rRNA from 1 species